GGCAAGAUGGCCGAGCGGUCUAAGGCGCUGUGUUCAGGAUUCUGACUUCGCAGUCCGAAAGGGCGUGGGUUCGAAUCCCACUCUUGUCA